CUGCCAGCACCAUCUGGUAAGGCUAAAUACUUUUGAGAGACCGAUAGUGAACUAGUACUGUGAAGGAAAGGUGAAAGAACCGCGAACAGCGGAGUGAAAUAGAACCUGAAACCAUACGCUUACAAGCGGUCGGAGCAGCUACGUGCUGUGACGGCGUGCCUUUUGCAUAAUGAGCCUACGAGUUACUCCUCUCUAGCAAGGUUAAAGAUUUAAGAUCUGGAUCCGAAGCGAAAGCAAGUCUGAAUAGGGCGUAUAGUUAGAGGGGGUAGACGCGAAACCUUGUGAUCUACCCAUGACCAGGUUGAAGUUCCGGUAACACGGAAUGGAGGACCGAACUGAUAAGCGUUGAAAAGCUUCCGGAUGAGUUGUGGGUAGGGGUGAAAGGCUAAUCAAACUGGGAAAUAGCUCGUACUCCCCGAAAUGUUUUUAGGAACAGCGUUGAGGUUGAGUCUUAUAGAGGUAGAGCUACUGAUUGGACAAGGG
rnacentral:rRNA from 1 species